rnacentral:rRNA from 1 species
UACGUAGGGUGCAAGCGUUGUCCGGAAUUAUUGGGCGUAAAGAGCUCGUAGGCGGUUUGUCACGUCGGAUGUGAAACCCUGAGGCUCAACCUCAGGCCUGCAUUCGAUACGGGCAGACUAGAAUUCGGCAGGGGAGACGUGGAAUUCCUGGUGUAGCGGUGAAAUGCGCAGAUAUCAGGAGGAACACCGGUGGCGAAGGCGGGUCUCUGGGCCGAUAUUGACGCUGAGGAGCGAAAGCGUGGGGAGCAAACAGG